UACGUAGGGUGCAAGCGUUGUCCGGAAUUAUUGGGCGUAAAGAGCUCGUAGGCGGCUUGUCGCGUCUGCCGUGAAAGCCCGAGGCUCAACUUCGGGUCUGCGGUGGGUACGGGCAGGCUAGAGUGCGGUAGGGGAGAUUGGAAUUCCUGGUGUAGCGGUGGAAUGCGCAGAUAUCAGGAAGAACACCGAUGGCGAAGGCAGGUCUCUGGGCCAUUACUGACACUGAGAAGCGAAAGCAUGGGGAGCGAACAGG
rnacentral:rRNA from 1 species